rnacentral:tRNA from 1 species
GGUCGAGUAGCUCAAUGGGCAGAGCAGCGGUGUAAACCGCAGGUUGUGAGUUCGAGUCUCACCUUGGCCUCCA